CACAAUAUAUGUUAUUCAAUAGCAGCGUGAAUAUGCUCACCUUUCUUGUGGGGGUCCUGUUCAUCUGUUGGUCAUUUGGAGAGGUUUUCUCGGAGUCGCCGUGUUCAAGAGCUGAAUCUUUGGUCUGUGGUGAGGAUUGGAUAACUUACAUCAACGAAUGUUAUGCCAAUAAGGCUAAAAAGAAAAUUAAAUGGAAUGGCCCAUGUCCACCGACGAAAUGCCGCUGCAAUAGACUUAUGAUUGACGUAUGUGGCUCUAAUGGGAUGGAGUACAGUAACCCUUGUGUGGCCAGAUGUCAUGGAGUAACUCAAUUCACGAUGGGAAAAUGUGACAACGCAGAAAGACAGUUAUAAAUGGAAGUUUUCCUCCUACAAAGUCGCUGAAUAGUUGCUACAAAGUUGUAUUCAAUGCGCCCAUUAUUAAUAAAAUAUAAAAUGUG
rnacentral:sRNA from 1 species